GCUGGGAGCAGCCACAGCUGGACUGGCGGCCGGCCGGGGUCGGGGCGGGGGGGGGGGCGUGGGGAGGCGGGGUGUGCGGAGGGCGGAUCCCAGGCGUCGGGUCCCCCUUUGUUCCCCGCCGCCCUAGCCUGGCGUCCGAGGUACCCCCUCACCCCCAUCCCCAGCUUCUCCGGGUGGUGGCCUCGCUGUCCCCAAUCUGUGCCCCGGUGCCCUCGGUGUUCUAGGGUCCCGGGCAGGAGAGGCGGGGGGAAACUGCUCCCCGCCGUGGGGACCCCCGGGUCCCAGCGGAGUGAGGGGUGGGAGGGGGAGACGGCCCCUCGUCGGCCCCGCCCGCCACCGCCAUUGUUUACCCGUCGGCUGCCUCCUAGGAAACUUAACCCGCCCGCGGUAAUUUUAUUUGGGAACUUCGGCCAGUUGCCAUAGCAACCCCCAGUGACGUCAGAGGGGCUGGGGCCCGAAAUCCCCGGGAAAGGGGGGGAUGGGAUUAUGGGGGAGACCCUCAGGAGGGCCCCUCUUUAACCCUGCGCCUGCCAGGCCCCAGUCCGAGGGGAGAGGACAGCCAGAUGGGACACCUCUUGGGCGCCCCCAUUCUGGCGCGGCGCCAAGUGAGGGUGGCAGGCCAGGCCCUGAUGUCAUCUGGUGCUGGGUGGGUGGGCCUGUUUGAUGUCUCUGUGUGCUGCGUUGCCAUGGGGCCCGGCAGGCAGCCCUACGUGUGAGCUGGGGUGACCUACGGGGCGGCUGGUUCUAUCAGGGUCCCUUGACCCAGCGCCCCCCAUCCCAGGCCUACAGGAGUCCCUAGACCAGCAUGUUCCUGCCUCAGGACCUUUGCACUGGCCGUUCCCUCCACCUUGGACUUUUCCUCCAGAUGUCUGCAAGGCACCUCCUUCACCUCCUACAAGUCUUUGUUCAAAUGUCACCUCCACCUCAUGCAGCCUGUCCUGACCUGGUCCCCACCGGCUCCGUCGUCCUCUCCUUUCCCCCCUUCUGUCCUCCCUUAGCACCUAGCACCCAACAUGCAGUGUAUCUUUACGCC